rnacentral:rRNA from 1 species
AAUAUUGUACAAUGGGGGCAACCCUGAUCCAGCCAUGCCGCGUGUGUGAAGAAGGUCUUCGGGUUGUAAAGCACUUUACGUUGGGAGGAAGUGCCUUAGAUUACUACCGUGAAGUCUUGACGUUACCAACAGAAUAUGAACCUACAAACUCUGUGCCAGCAGCCUCGGUAAUACAGAGGGUGCAAGCGUUAAUCGGAAGUACUGGGCGUAAAGCGCGCGUAGGUGGUUGAGUAAGAUAGGUGUGAAAUCCCCGGGCUUAACCUGGGAACUGCUUUCAUAACUGCUGAGCUAGAGUACGGUAGAGGGUAGUGGAAUUUCCUGUGUAGCGGUGAAAUGCGUAGAUAUAGGAAGGAACACCAGUGGCGAAGGCAACUACCUGGACUGAUACUGACACUGAGGUGCGAAAGCGUGGGGAGCAAAC